AGGAAAUGAAAUGCCGCUUGUCGUAAUUGGAUUCAGCGGACUAACUUGUCAGGCCCGCAGCUUGGAGGCAAAAGGGACUCUAAAGGUCACCCCAGCACUUGAUGUCUUGGGUUGGGGAAAUGCAACGCAGAAAAGCCCUAAGUUUACUACUACUACAGCCUCCACAACAACAAAACAUAUUAUUACGUCUAUACAUGCAUAUAUAUAUAGUUCUAUAGACUACUAGCACGUUGUAUUUCAUGUCCCAUUACCGCCGUGGUGGGGAGUGGGGGGCGGGCAGAAAAAAAGGGGAUCUGGGAUUCAGGAUUCCAUCUUUGUUCAAGCUCAUGCAGUCGCUUACCUGUAUCCUAAAACUGUCCUCUUCGGUCAGAAAUUGCGCGCUUUCAGCUUGGAAGAUAUAUCCUUCCUCCUUUGUUCUGCAGACAAUACACUCCUAAACCUGAUCUUGCGGGUCUGCUCGAGCAUUUCCAUAGACCAGUAUUCCCGGUAGAAUAUAUUUUUUUCAAGAGCAAGCCAAGAUUGCAGCAGCUCCAAUAAAAGAGGGCGAAUGGAUUCUGAGUUCGUUAGGUUUAAUAAUAAUUUCGAAAAUCCUUCACAAUCAACCCCAUGGAAUAAAAAAAGAAAGCCAGCUGGUCAAGCUUAUCGUUUUGCUUUGUUU